rnacentral:tRNA from 1 species
GGCCCAUUCGUCUAGCGGCCAAGGACGUCGGCCUCUCAAGCCGGAAACACGGGUUCGAACCCCGUAUGGGCCA